rnacentral:rRNA from 1 species
GAUGAACGCUGGCGGCGUGCCUAACACAUGCAAGUCGAGCGGCAGCGCGGGGUGCUUGCACCCUGUCGGCGAGCGGCGGACGGCUGAGUAACGCGUGGGAACGUGCCCCAAAGUGAGGAAUAACUGCCCGAAAGGGUAGCUAAUACCGCAUAUUAUCUUCGGAUCAAAGGAUUUAUCCGCUUUGGGAGCGGCUCGCGUCGGAUUAGGUAGUUGGUGAGGUAAUGGCUCACCAAGCCGACGAUCCGUAGCUGGGCUGAGAGGAUGACCAGCCAGACUGGAACUGAGACACGGUCCAGACUCCUACGGGAGGCAGCAGUGAGGAAUCUUCCACAAUGGGCGAAAGCCUGAUGGAGCAACGCCGCGGGCAGGACGAAGGCCUUCGGGUUGUAAACUGCUUUUAUAAGUGAGGAAUAUGACGGUAACUUAUGAAUAAGGAUCGGCUAACUACGUG